rnacentral:rRNA from 1 species
CCAGAGAACUUAGCAGAGAUGCUUUGGUGCCUUCGGGAACUCUGAGACAGGUGCUGCAUGGCUGUCGUCAGCUCGUGUUGUGAAAUGUUGGGUUAAGUCCCGCAACGAGCGCAACCCUUAUCCUUUGUUGCCAGCGAUUCGGUCGGGAACUCAAAGGAGACUGCCGGUGAUAAACCGGAGGAAGGUGGGGAUGACGUCAAGUCAUCAUGGCCCUUACGGCCAGGGCUACACACGUGCUACAAUGGCGCAUACAAAGAGAAGCGACCUCGCGAGAGCAAGCGGACCUCAUAAAGUGCGUCGUAGUCCGGAUUGGAGUCUGCAACUCGACUCCAUGAAGUCGGAAUCGCUAGUAAUCGUAGAUCAGAAUGCUACGGUGAAUACGUUCCCGGGCCUUGUACACACCGCCCGUCACACCAUGGGAGUGGGUUGCAAAAGAAGUAGGUAGCUUAACCUUCGGGAGGGCGCUUACCACUUUGUGAUUCAUGACUGGGGUGAAGUCGUAACAAGGUAGGCGUAGUGCU